rnacentral:rRNA from 1 species
GACGAACGCUGGCGGCGUGCCUAAUACAUGCAAGUAGAACGCACAGUUUAUACCGUGGCUUGCUACACCAUAGACUGUAAGUUGCGAACGGGUGAGUAACGCGUAGGUAACCUGCCUUGUAGCGGGGGAUAACUAUUGGAAACGAUAGCUAAUACCGCAUAAUAUUAAUUAUUGCAUGAUAUUUAAUUUAAAGGUGCAAUUGCAGCACUACCAGAUGGACCUGCGUUGUAUUAGCUAGGAGGUGAGGUAACGGCUCACCUAGGCGACGAUACAUAGCCGACCUGAGAGGGUGAUCGGCCACACUGGGACUGAGACACGGCCCAGACUCCUACGGGAGGCAGCAGUAGGGAAUCUUCGGCAAUGGACGAAAGUCUGACCGAGCAACGCCGCGUGAGUGAAGAAGGUUGUCGGAUCGUAAAGCUCUGUUGUAAGAGAAGAACGGGUGUGAGAGUGGAAAGUUCACAAUGUGACGGUAUCUUACCAGAAAGGGACGGCUAACUACGUG